rnacentral:rRNA from 1 species
GACGAACGCUGGCGGCGUGCUUAACACAUGCAAGUCGAACGGAAAGGCCCUUCGGGGUACUCGAGUGGCGAACGGGUGAGUAACACGUGGGUGAUCUGCCCUGCACUUUGGGAUAAGCCUGGGAAACUGGGUCUAAUACCGAAUAGGACCACGCGCUUCAUGGUGUGUGGUGGAAAGCUUUUGCGGUGUGGGAUGGGCCCGCGGCCUAUCAGCUUGUUGGUGGGGUAAUGGCCUACCAAGGCGACGACGGGUAGCCGGCCUGAGAGGGUGACCGGCCACACUGGGACUGAGAUACGGCCCAGACUCCUCCGGGAGGCAGCAGUGGGGAAUAUUGCACAAUGGGCGCAAGCCUGAUGCAGCGACGCCGCGUGAGGGAUGACGGCCUUCGGGUUGUAAACCUCUUUCAAUAGGGACGAAGCGCAAGUGACGGUACCUAUAGAAGAAGCACCGGCCAACUACGUG